rnacentral:rRNA from 1 species
AGAGUUUGAUCCUGGCUCAGGAUGAAACGCUGGCGGCGUGCUUAACACAUGCAAGUCGAGCGAAGCACUUAAGUCCGAUUCUUCGGAUGAAGACUUAUUUGACUGAGCGGCGGACGGGUGAGUAACGCGUGGGUAACCUGCCUCAUACAGGGGGAUAACAGUUAGAAAUGACUGCUAAUACCGCAUAAGACCACGGUACCGCAUGGUACAGUGGUAAAAACUCCGGUGGUAUGAGAUGGACCCGCGUCUGAUUAGGCAGUUGGCGGGGUAACGGCCCACCAAACCGACGAUCAGUAGCCGACCUGAGAGGGUGACCGGCCACAUUGGGACUGAGACACGGCCCAAACUCCUACGGGAGGCAGCAGUGGGGAAUAUUGCACAAUGGGGGAAACCCUGAUGCAGCGACGCCGCGUGAGCGAUGAAGUAUUUCGGUAUGUAAAGCUCUAUCAGCAGGGAAGAAAAUGACGGUACCUGACUAAGAAGCCCCGGCUAACUACGUGCCAGCAGCCGCGGUAAUACGUAGGUGGCAAGCGUUGUCCGGAAUUACUGGGUGUAAAGGGAGCGCAGGCGGGGGAGCAAGUCAGCUGUGAAAUCUAUGGGCUUAACCCAUAAACUGCAGUUGAAACUGUUCUUCUUGAGUGAAGUAGAGGUUGGCGGAAUUCCGAGUGUAGCGGUGAAAUGCGUAGAUAUUCGGAGGAACACCGGUGGCGAAGGCGGCCAACUGGGCUUUUACUGACGCUGAGGCUCGAAAGUGUGGGGAGCAAACAGGAUUAGAUACCCUGGUAGUCCACACUGUAAACGAUGAUAACUAGGUGUAGGGGGUCUGACCCCUUCUGUGCCGCAGCU